AUCGCUUCUCGGCCUUUUGGCUAAGAUCAAGUGUAGUAUCUGUUCUUAUCAGUUUAAUAUCUGAUACGUCCUCUACCCGAGGACUAUAUAUUAAUCAGAUUUUUGGAACAGGGAGACGGAAGAGGGGCUUGCUCCGUCCGCUCCACGCAUCGACCCGGUGUUGCUGUGACUCCGGGAACGGUGGCCUACUG